rnacentral:rRNA from 1 species
UACGAAGGGGGCUAGCGUUGCUCGGAAUCACUGGGCGUAAAGCGUGCGCAGGCGGCUUUGCAAGACAGAUGUGAAAUCCCCGGGCUUAACCUGGGAACUGCAUUUGUGACUGCAUGGCUGGAGUGCGGCAGAGGGGGAUGGAAUUCCGCGUGUAGCAGUGAAAUGCGUAGAUAUGCGGAGGAACACCGAUGGCGAAGGCAAUCCCCUGGGCCUGCACUGACGCUCAUGCACGAAAGCGUGGGGAGCAAACAGG